CCUACGGGUGGCAGCAGUGGGGAAUAUUGCACAAUGGGGGAAACCCUGAUGCAGCGACGCCGCGUGAGGGAUGACGGUCUUCGGAUUGUAAACCUCUGUCUUUAGGGAAGAAAAUGACGGUACCUAACUAGGAAGCUCCGGCUAACUACGUGCCAGCAGCCGCGGUAAUACGUAGGGAGCGAGCGUUAUCCGGAAAUACUGGGUGUAAAGGGAGCGUAGGCGGGCGGGGAAGGCGGAUGUUAAAACUUGGGGGUCAAACGGGGAGCGGCUUUGGAAACUGUUUGGCUUGAGUGUAGUAGAGGCAGGCGGAAUUCCUAGUGUAGCGGUGAAAUGCGUAGAUAUUAGGAGGAACACCAGUGGCGAAGGCGGCCUGCUGGGCUUUAACUGACGCUGAGGCUCGAAAGCGUGGGGAGCAAACAGGAUUAGAUACCCUUGUAGUC
rnacentral:rRNA from 1 species